AGGACGAACGGCUGGCGGCGUGCUUAACACAUGCAAGUCGAACGGAAAGGCCCAGCUUGCUGGGUACUCGAGUGGCGAACGGGUGAGUAACACGUGGGUGAUCUGCCCCUGACUCUGGGAUAAGCCUGGGAAACUGGGUCUAAUACCGGAUAUUCAUUUUUCCUCGCAUGGGGAUUGGUGGAAAGCUUUUGCGGUUGGGGAUGGGCCCGCGGCCUAUCAGCUUGUUGGUGGGGUAAUGGCCUACCAAGGCGACGACGGGUAGCCGACCUGAGAGGGUGAUCGGCCACACUGGGACUGAGACACGGCCCAGACUCCUACGGGAGGCAGCAGUGGGGAAUAUUGCACAAUGGGCGCAAGCCUGAUGCAGCGACGCCGCGUGAGGGAUGACGGCCUUCGGGUUGUAAACCUCUUUCAGCUCCGACGAAGCGCAAGUGACGGUAGGAGCAGAAGAAGCACCGGCCAACUACGUGCCAGCAGCCGCGGUAAUACGUAGGGUGCAAGCGUUGUCCGGAAUUACUGGGCGUAAAGAGCUCGUAGGCGGUUUGUCGCGUCGUCUGUGAAAUUCUGCAGCUUAACUGUAGGCGUGCAGGCGAUACGGGCAGACUUGAGUACUACAGGGGAGACUGGAAUUCCUGGUGUAGCGGUGAAAUGCGCAGAUAUCAGGAGGAACACCGGUGGCGAAGGCGGGUCUCUGGGUAGUAACUGACGCUGAGGAGCGAAAGCGUGGGUAGCGAACAGGAUUAGAUACCCUGGUAGUCCACGCCG
rnacentral:rRNA from 1 species